UACGUAGGGGUCGAGCGUUGUCCGGAGUUACUGGGCGUAAAGCGCAUGCAGGCGGCUCAUUACGCAUGGCGUGAAAGCCCCCGGCUCAACCGGGGAGGGUCGUCGUGAACGGGUGAGCUUGAGGGUAUCAGGGGCUGGUAGAAUUCCCGGUGUAGUGGUGAAAUGCGUAGAGAUCGGGAGGAAUACCUGUGGCGAAGGCGGCCAGCUUGGAUACACCUGACGCUGAGAUGCGAAGGCGUGGGGAGCGAACGGGAUUAGAUACCCGUGUAGU
rnacentral:rRNA from 1 species